CUAGGAUUUGAACCCAGAUCUGAGACUGACUCCAGAGACAGAGCACUCUGCAAUGCCAAGGGGCCAAGCCACAUCCCCAACAAAGGGACGAGGGAGACAGACAGCCUUCUUCAGGGAUGCCCAGGUCUGGUGCAAAAACUCAGCUCUGUAACCUGAGCCAGGAGCCCUCACCUGGAGGAAGCAGUCCCACCCCUGGAGCUGUUUCUAAUGAAACUGAGCUGGUGGGUGUUAGUGGCUGGUUCUGUGUGGGUGGACCGCACACAAUCAGUUGAAGGUCUUAGAAGGUCUUAAGAGAAGAGACAGGUUUCCCAAGGAAGAAGGAAUUCUGCCUCAGGUCAGCAACACAGAAACCCCGCCUGAAAUUUCCAGCCUGCUGCCCUUCAGAAUUCAGACUCAGGACAGCAACAUCCAACAUCGACCUCCAACCUGUCUUACAGGUUUCAGACCUGUCAGUCCUCAAAAUUGUGUUUUUAAGCCUAUUCCUUAAAAUCACCCUCUGAAUAUAUAUCCUAUCAGUUCUGUUUCUCUGGAGAACUCUGUACAAUAUUAUAGACUGUACUAUGUACAUUACACCCAUGGAAUAUUAUCUAUUGUAUUUAUCAUAAAUAAAAGCGAUACUUGUGAA